CCAAUAGCGUAUAUUAAAGUUGUUGCAGUUAAAAAGCUCGUAGUUGAAUUUUAGGCCUGGCCGGGCGGUCCGUCUUUGGCGAGUACUGUCUGUUGUUGGGUCUUCCUUCUGGUGAACCAGUAUGUCCUUUAUUGGGUGUGUUGGGGAGCCAGGACCAUUACCUUGAAAAAAUUAGAGUGUUUAAAGCGGGCUAUUGCUUGAAUAGAUUAGCAUGGAAUAAUAGAAUAGGACGUUGUGGUUCUAUUUUGUUGGUUUCUAGGACCACCGUAAUGAUUAAUAGGGAUAGUUGGGGGCAUUAGUAUUCAAUUGUCAGAGGUGAAAUUCUUGGAUUUAUUGAAGACUAACUAUUGCGAAAGCAUUUGCCAAGGAUGUUUUCAUUAAUCAAGAACGAAAGUUAGGGGAUCGAAGACGAUCAGAUACCGUCGUAGUCUUAACCAUAAACUAUGCCGACUAGGAAUCGGGCGUCGUUAUUUUAAUGACUCGCUCGGCGCCUUAUG
rnacentral:rRNA from 1 species